UACGAAGGGUGCAAGCGUUACUCGGAAUUACUGGGCGUAAAGAGCUCGUAGGUGGUUUGUCGCGUUGUUCGUGAAAACUCACAGCUUAACUGUGGGCGUGCGGGCGAUACGGGCAGACUUGAGUACUGCAGGGGAGACUGGAAUUCCUGGUGUAGCGGUGGAAUGCGCAGAUAUCAGGAGGAACACCGGUGGCGAAGGCGGGUCUCUGGGCAGUAACUGACGCUGAGGAGCGAAAGCGUGGGGAGCGAACAGGAUUAGA
rnacentral:rRNA from 1 species